rnacentral:misc_RNA from 1 species
GAUGAAGAACGUAGCGAAAUGCGAUAAGUAAUGUGAAUUGCAGAAUUCAGUGAAUCAUCGAAUCUUUGAACGCACAUUGCGCCCAUUAGUAUUCUAGUGGGCAUGCCUGUUCGAGCGUCAUUAAGUCCACUUAAGCCCUGCUUAGUGUUGGGAGACUGCUCCAGCGGUGCUACCCUGUAGCUACCCUGCAGCUCCUCAAAGACAGCGGCGGAGUUGUGGUAUCCUCUGAGCUUAGUAACUUGUUCUAGCUUUCGAGUACACCACUUCCCCUGCCGUAAAACCCUUAAUUUUUAAUGGUUGACCUCGGAUCAGGUAGGAAUACCCGCUGAACUUAAGCAUACCAAUAAGCGGAGGA